UACGUAGGGUGCAAGCGUUACUCGGAAUUACUGGGCGUAAAGGGUGCGUAGGCGGUUGUUUAAGUCUGUCGUGAAAUCCCCGGGCUCAACCUGGGAAUGGCGAUGGAUACUGGGCAGCUAGAGUGUGUCAGAGGAUGGUGGAAUUCCCGGUGUAGCGGUGAAAUGCGUAGAGAUCGGGAGGAACAUCAGUGGCGAAGGCGGCCAUCUGGGACAACACUGACGCUGAAGCACGAAAGCGUGGGGAGCAAACAGG
rnacentral:rRNA from 1 species